rnacentral:rRNA from 1 species
ACGGCUCAGUAACACGUGGAUAACCUGCCCUUAGGACCGGCAUAACCCUGGGAAACUGGGGAUAAUACCGGAUAACCCAUGAAUGCUGGAAUGCAUCGUGGGUAAAAUGGUUUCGACCGCCUAAGGAUGGAUCUGCGGCCUAUCAGGUAGUAGUGGGUGUAUCGUACCUACUAGCCUACGACGGGUACGGGUUGUGAGAGCAAGAGCCCGGAGAUGGAUUCUGAGACAUGAAUCCAGGCCCUACGGGGCGCAGCAGGCGCGAAAACUUUACAAUGCGGGAAACCGCGAUAAGGGGACACUGAGUGCCAGCAUAUUAUGUUGGCUGUCCACAUGUUUAAAAAGCAUGUGUUAGCAAGGGCUGGGCAAGACCGGUGCCAGCCGCCGCGGUAACACCGGCAGCCCGAGUGGUGAUCACUAUUAUUGGGUCUAAAGGGUCCGUAGCCGGUUUGAUCAGUCUUUUGGGAAAUCUGACAGCUUAACUGUUAGGCUUCCAAAAGAUACUGUCAGACUUGGGACCGGGAGAGGUAAGAGGUACUACAGGGGUAGGAGUGAAAUCUUGUAAUCCCUGUGGGACCACCAGUGGCGAAGGCGUCUUACCAGAACGGGUCCGACGGUGAGGGACGAAAGCUGGGGGCACGAACCGGAUUAGAUACCCGGGUAGUCCCAGCCGUAAACGAUGCUCGCUAGGUGUCAGGAAUGGUGCGACCGUUUCUGGUGCCGUAGGGAAGCCGUGAAGCGAGCCACCUGGGAAGUACGGCCGCAAGGCUGAAACUUAAAGGAAUUGGCGGGGAAGCAC